rnacentral:rRNA from 1 species
CCUACGUGAGGCAGCAGUGGGGAAUAUUGGACAAUGGGCGAAAGCCUGAUCCAGCCAUGCCGCGUGUGUGAAGAAGGCCUUCGGGUUGUAAAGCACUUUCAGUGGGGAAGAAAGCCUUGGGGCUAAUACCCUCGAGGAAGGACAUCACCCACAGAAGAAGCACCGGCUAACUCCGUGCCAGCAGCCGCGGUAAUACGGAGGGUGCGAGCGUUAAUCGUAAUUACUGGGCGUAAAGCGCGCGUAGGCGGUCUGAUAAGCCGGUUGUGAAAGCCCCGGGCUCAACCUGGGAACGGCAUCCGGAACUGUCAGGCUAGAGUGCAGGAGAGGAAGGUAGAAUUCCCGGUGUAGCGGUGAAAUGCGUAGAGAUCGGGAGGAAUACCAGUGGCGAAGGCGGCCUUCUGGACUGACACUGACGCUGAGGUGCGAAAGCGUGGGUAGCAAACAGGAUUAGAUACCCCUGUAGUC